AUACGUAGGGGGCGAGCGUUAUCCGGAAUUAUUGGGCGUAAAGAGUACGUAGGUGGUUUCCUAAGCAUGGGGUUUAAGGCAAUGGCUCAACUGUUGUUCGCCCUAUGAACUGGGUUACUUGAGUGCUGGAGGGGAAAGCGGAAUUCCUAGUGUAGCGGUGAAAUGCGUAGAUAUUAGGAGGAACACCAGUGGCGAAGGCGGCUUUCUGGACAGUAACUGACACUGAGGUACGAAAGUGUGGGGAGCAAACAGGAUUAGAUACCCUGGUAGUCCACACCGUAAACGAUGAGCACUAGGUGUCGGGUUCGCAAGAGCUCGGUGCCGCAGUUAACGCAUUAAGUGCUCCGCCUGGGGAGUACGUACGCAAGUAUGAA
rnacentral:rRNA from 1 species